UACGCCUAUAUCAUGUUGAAACACCGAUUCUCGUACGAUCACCGAAGUUAAGCAACAUUGAGCCUGUUGAAUAACUAGAUGAGUGACCACUUGGGAAUACCAGAUUCUGUA